UUCUUUUUUGUGCCGUUUUAGACAGAAUCCCCGGGAAGGUAAUAAAUUAUAUCAUGUUUUAAAACGUUCAUAUUUAAAAAUCAAAAAGAAAGUUGUUUUUUUUCAAAAUGUAAUGUUAGAUUAUUUUAAACCCGGCAAUACAUGAGGCAAUAUUAAAACUGCGAUUGGAAAACACUUGCUCUAUGUAAUCCGUUUCAUGACUAAUUAUUAUGCUUUGGGCAAAUCUGCUUAGAAGCUCUAUAUCAUUUUUUUCUUCAAUUUAUUAUCAGAUGGCGUUUUCAAGUUGUUUGUCGCACAUUGUCUCAGGAUGAGAAUACUCUGUACGAAAAGAUAUGAAAUGCAGGACUUGAAGCGCUUAAACUGAUGAGGUGAGGUGAAAAAAAGUAAGGAAGACUAGAAGAAGUCUACCAUCAUUACUGCAGGAAGUGUAUUCAAUAAGAUACACGUGGUUGUACAUGUAUAUAUUCAAAUGUACAUGUUGAGUGUGGGUAUCCCAUGCAACCCCGAUUUUCGUCACUGGGUGAAAUGUUAAUAAAUGGUGGUAAAUUCAUUUUAAACUUAUCUAACUAACUCUCAACUUGUCUUUAUUAUUUGAAUACUUCAAGAUUAAAUUGGAAUAAGCUCAACCAAUUAAAAUCCAUGCCUCGAUCAUGCACUUGUCUUUAUUGCAUUGUUUUCUUUGUUUAUUGAGCUAUGAUUUAGUUUGUCUAAAAAAAUUGUUGUCUAGCACGAAUGACAUUAAUAAUUUGUAAUACCUAAUUAUUAAAAGAGUCAAUUUCUGAUUUGAAAAGACCCCCAAUGUUAUACUCAGGUUAUAACUCGUCAUUCUCAUACAAGAAACAGAACUCAAGUAAUUAAACGAAUCAAUUGAUAUAUUAAAAAGAAUCCCGUCAAUGUAGCUAUGGUUUUUGAUAUGUCUGUUUAAUCAAUCGUUUUUCUAACAAAUACACAAUUCAUAAAAGAAAAAUAACAAAACUAUAAUUAUAACCCUACAUUAAAAGUAAUUGUAAAAGUAAAAGUAGGUGAACGACUUUUGUAGAUGACCAUCUUCCACGGUGUGACGUAAAUCCAUUGUCCAGAUCACGACCAGCCAAACUAUUUACGUAAUACAGUAUUAAGAAAAAACAUUAAUACAUAUAUAAACCAUAUCGUCCUUAACUAUUUAAGUAAUAUUGUAAAAAAUAAAAAAAUAUACCAAUAGAUAUAUCAAAUAUUUCAUUGAUGUGCAAAUAUAAACACCAGUUAUGAAUCAUAAAAAUCAAGAAUGUUUUCAAAUAUUUGCCAUUUGCAUUUACUCUGUUCGAAUUUUCCCGCGUUU